UGCAAGUAGAACGCUGAAGUCUGGUGCUUGCACUAGACGGAUGAGUUGCGAACGGGUGAGUAACGCGUAGGUAACCUGCCUCAUAGCGGGGGAUAACUAUUGGAAACGAUAGCUAAUACCGCAUAACAGUAUUUACCGCAUGGUAGAUAUUUGAAAGGAGCAAUUGCUUCACUAUGAGAUGGACCUGCGUUGUAUUAGCUAGUUGGUGAGGUAACGGCUCACCAAGGCUUCGAUACAUAGCCGACCUGAGAGGGUGAUCGGCCACACUGGGACUGAGACACGGCCCAGACUCCUACGGGAGGCAGCAGUAGGGAAUCUUCGGCAAUGGGGGCAACCCUGACCGAGCAACGCCGCGUGAGUGAAGAAGGUUUUCGGAUCGUAAAGCUCUGUUGUAAGAGAAGAACUGUGAGAAGAGUGGAAAGUUUCUCACUUGACGGUAUCUUACCAGAAAGGGACGGCUAACUACGUGCCAGCAGCCGCGGUAAUACGUAGGUCCCGAGCGUUGUCCGGAUUUAUUGGGCGUAAAGCGAGCGCAGGCGGUUUGAUAAGUCUGAAGUAAAAGGCUGUGGCUUAACCAUAGUACGCUUUGGAAACUGUCAAACUUGAGUGCAGAAGGGGAGAGUGGAAUUCCAUGUGUAGCGGUGAAAUGCGUAGAUAUAUGGAGGAACACCGGUGGCGAAAGCGGCUCUCUGGUCUGUAACUGACGCUGAGGCUCGAAAGCGUGGGGAGCGAACAGGAUUAGAUACCCUGGUAGUCCACGCCGUAAACGAUGAGUGCUAGGUGUUGGGUCCUUUCCGGGACUCAGUGCCGCAGCUAACGCAUUAAGCACUCCGCCUGGGGAGUACGACCGCAAGGUUGAAACUCAAAGGAAUUGACGGGGGCCCGCACAAGCGGUGGAGCAUGUGGUUUAAUUCGAAGCAACGCGAAGAACCUUACCAGGUCUUGACAUCCCGAUGACCGCCCUAGAGAUAGGGUUUCUCUUCGGAGCAUCGGUGACAGGUGGUGCAUGGUUGUCGUCAGCUCGUGUCGUGAGAUGUUGGGUUAAGUCCCGCAACGAGCGCAACCCCUAUUGUUAGUUGCCAUCAUUCAGUUGGGCACUCUAGCGAGACUGCCGGUAAUAAACCGGAGGAAGGUGGGGAUGACGUCAAAUCAUCAUGCCCCUUAUGACCUGGGCUACACACGUGCUACAAUGGCUGGUACAACGAGUCGCAAGUCGGUGACGGCAAGCUAAUCUCUUAAAGCCAGUCUCAGUUCGGAUUGUAGGCUGCAACUCGCCUACA
rnacentral:rRNA from 1 species